UUCAGAACUGCAGAUAGUACGGCUUUCACAGGAGCAAGGAAUGCCUGGGCACAAGUGCCUGAGUUCCGAGGGACUUUGGGAAAACACUUUGCUCUCUCCCUCCUUCCUGGAAUCAGGGAUUCUGCACCUGCAUCAGAGACCGUCCAGCCAGAGCCUCUGCUGUGCCUCCAGGGACCAGGAACGAGCACAAAUAAGCGUUUUGAAAUUGGAUCUUGGACAAAUGAUCCCUUGGUCAAAUCCAUGAAGGAAACUGAAGGCACAUGGAGCUACAUCUUCAAAUGACAGUCUUGAAAAAAAAUCAAAGCAAGAUGCUCUGUCUCCAAAGACAUCUAUUCCAAAGAGUACAGCUCUACCCCCAAAUGGGGACAGGAUGCAGGAAGAAGUCUAAAUUUCAGAGCAAAGAAACUGACAUGUUUUGCCAAUAGCCAAACUUUGAAACACUCAAAAAUAUGAAGACUUGAUGUUUAAAUAUACAAUAAUAUUGAAAUUUGAAAUACUAUUCUAUGCAGAGCUGACUGACAUACUUUUUGACUUAAUUUAUGACAGACACUCAAGGCUAAGAAACUAUUUGAAAGGAGAUCAGGAAAUCUAUCCUGACCACACUCUGCUCUCCACGGUCUGUGUUAACAUUGGCGAUUAAGACAAAGAUGCUUUAGGUUAAUCCAGGGUUCCUAAUUGAGGAGAAUUGGAGAUUAAUUAUAACUUCUAAAUCGACAUCGAGCAUCUUGAGAAGCACCUGUCUGGAAGGGCUCUCCCUGCUGUCAGUCGGCACCACCUACCAGGGUACCUACGAGAUCCUAUUCCAGUUGUGGAAAAUUUAAACUGCUCGGAGGUGAGGUAUUAUCUUCAACAAACUAUAACUGUGAGACAUUAUCCAGUUUAGUCCAAGGAAAGAAGAAAGAGUGAAUUACUGAAUUUCUGACUACUGUUUUAUGUGUUUCGGACAUUUAAUAGAAUUUCUUCUUGUUGUAAGUGAAUCGUUUAUAUUUAAGAAUUUUAGGGUGUUGUGUUUCGUUUUGUUUUUUGGCCCUACCUGUGGCAGGCAGACGUUCCUGGGCCAGAAAUCAAACCCACGCCACUGCAGUGACCCAAGCCACAGCAGGGACAACGCCAAGUCCUCAGAUCAUUAACCUGCUGAGCCAUCAGGGGUAUUUAAGAAUUUUAAGUUCAUUAUAUUCUGCUAAGGACAUCUAAGAAACCAUUUGGGGAAACGGAGAAUGAGCUUAUGCAUUGCUAUUCAUUCCAAGGGCCCUACAGCUUGGCUCAUUAGUAGGCCAGUACCGGUUUUAUGUUAAUGCGAAAUACAUGAUUUAGACUCUUUUUUUCAUAGCAUCCCUAUUAUACAAAUGUUAGCAGACAUGCGGAGAGAUGAACAGGCGUGAUCGAGAAUAGUUGCACAUAUUGACCGGACACUAAUAUCUCGAUGAACAGGCAAGAGAACAGGACUGGUGUCCUUCCAGGUAUCCUCGAGAACGCAAACCGAGUCCCCAGUCCCAGGGCAAUAGUCUUUCCAGCAACAGCACAGAAAUAGCUACUGAUAAAGCCUGUUCUCCUAAGGCGUUUUAUUCUGUAGGGAAAAUGGGCUCAUUUCAAAAUAAUUAAACACGGCAAAAUGCAGAGUCAUCCCUGUUUAUAUUCUAAGACUAUUUGUCACCUCAAUAUGUACUUUCCAGAGAUGACUAACCCUUUUUCCCCUAAAA